CAGAGGGUGCGAGCGUUAAUCGGAAUUACUGGGCGUAAAGCGCGCGUAGGCGGCUUUUCAAGCCGAUUGUGAAAUCCCCGGGCUUAACCUGGGAACUGCAGUCGGGACUGUCUAGCUAGAGUAUGGGAGAGGGAAGUGGAAUUUCAGGUGUAGCGGUGAAAUGCGUAGAUAUCUGAAGGAACAUCAGUGGCGAAAGCGACUUCCUGGACCAAUACUGACGCUCAUGUGCGAAAGCGUGGGGAGCAAACAGGAUUAGAUACCCUGGUAGUCCACGCCAUAAACGAUGAGAACUGGAUGUCGGGAGGGUCUGCCUCUCGGUGUCGUAGCUAACGCGUUAAGUUCUCCGCCUGGGGAGUACGGCCGCAAGGUUG
rnacentral:rRNA from 1 species